GCAGUAUUAUAAAAGUUGCUUUUCCAAGACUUUUUUAACAUUAUUUUGCGAUUUUCUUUCAUAUAUUCUUCAAAAGUAUAUAAAAAAAUAUGGCCAAUGAAUACGAAAUCUUCGAAUUUAUAGAGCAAGACAAUGCUGCUAGUAAUUAAUAUUCCCAUAAUAACUGUAGUUGUCGCCCCGAAACUCUCCGAACUCUGCCGC
rnacentral:lncRNA from 1 species